rnacentral:rRNA from 1 species
UACGUAGGUGGCAAGCGUUAUCCGGAAUUACUGGGCGUAAAGCGCACGCAGGUGGCUUGUUAAGUCUGACGUGAAAGCUCCUGGCUUAACUGGGAGAGGUCGUUGGAGACUGGCAGGCUUGAGGUAAGGAGAGGGGUGCAGAAUUCCCGGUGUAGUGGUGGAAUGCGUAGAUAUCGGGAGGAAUACCAGAGGCGAAAGCGGCACCCUGGCCUUGGCCUGACGCUCAGGUGCGAAAGCGUGGGGAGCAAACGGG